rnacentral:lncRNA from 1 species
CACCAAGUCACCCCUCAACCACAUCUGAGCUGUGCCCGUUGCUCCAGCAGUGUCAUCAGCACAUGCAGAGUGGUGCCUCUCCCUGUGCUCUGUCCCACGCAGCUCCAGUCUAAGCCUCUUCCUUCCUUGCCCAGUUCCCAGAAGCACCCCAGACUCCCUUCCUCCCCAUUGCCCACGCUCAGGGGGACAGCCGGAUGUGGCUUGUGAUUGGACUAGAGAAUUCCUUGUUGUGAUUGGAUUAGAGAAUUCCUUGCUGUGUUUCCAUACUACCUCCUGUUCACUUCUGAGGGAUUCCUGGAUUCAAUAUGAAAGAUAAUCUGUGAGGAACCAACCUUUUGCUAAUUAUCUGCGGUAAGUCUCCCCAGCGUUCAUCCAGCUGUUCCAACUGCAGCUUCAUCACCGCCACGUCCUCUUUGGAGGCCACUGAGAACAAGGCUUCCUUCAGCUGCAGGAGAUUGCUGUAGAGCGAGGCCUGGGACACGACUUCAUUUUGCAGGGCCUGAAGAAUGGAAGGUCCCACUCACGAUGCAAACGAAACUGUAGAGCCAAAAAAAGGAUGGAGUACCCUUCCGUGCCCACAGGGAAGACCCCCAGGUGAAGCUGGACUCAAUGUUAAGGAGAACCCUGAGAGAAGACAUCUGGGAAGCAAGGCAGGAGGUAAGCAGGAGCUUCAGUAUCGGAUGUGGCACCUGGCUCACAGAAGGCACCCGGUCAAUAUCUUUUGCUUCACUGAAUGAAGGGAAGGGUUAACAGGGAGACAAACAGAAGCAUCACAAAAGCAGAGCGUGGAUCUGUGCCUCUCUUUCUGAAACUGCCGUUCCACACUUACAAAAGGACCAAACUGAGCUGUGAGUCCCUUCAUCACUAGGGCAGUCACAGGCUUUGUGGAAAGUACCUUUAGGGAAGAUGAAGAACAUUCCACCUUCACAAGGUAGAAGAGGAAAAGACCAGAGGCGCAGCAUCCUUCCAAAGUCAAGGAGGAAAAAAAGCAGAAGGCGGGCAGUAGGUUGGAACACCAGAGGUCUCCUGGGUAAGACUUUUAGGAACAAUAUAAAACUAACCGGCCUCUGCUCUGUUCUAGCUACACUGAGAGAGGUGGGGAAAGUCAUGAGUCUACCAUGUGUCAUUGACCUCAGGUAACUGAAAUCCCAGAAGUCAAGACCGUGGUUGAGAGGGACAGAUGGACAACAGC